rnacentral:snRNA from 1 species
AAGGAAGAUUAGCACGGGCCCGUGCAAGGAUGACAUGCAAAUACGUGAAGCGUUUCAUACUUUU